ACUUUGUGGAAACUUAUAUUUCUUAUAUCGACUGUUAAAAACUGAGGAAAAACAUGCCGGUUGUUCGUCUGUAUGCGCAUUCUGCAGAUGCUUGAUUUAUCAUUUUAAACAUACAGCAGUGGUGGCCAAAUAACUAGUUUGUGUUGUAGGAUCAUAGUGGAGCAAACUGCUAGUUCACUUCACUCCCCGCAACCCACACUCACCCCGCUGACCAAAGCCGUGCGUGUCCCUCACUGACAUGAGUAACAAGGACAGUCGUGGCACGUGGACUCCAGGGGAUACAUCACUAGUCUGCAUGCUCACAUCUGCCACUGGAUUGCACCCCCCCCCUCGGUUUGAAGAUAUGCAGGAUUGUGCACAGUAGAUGAAUGUGUGUGUGUGUGUGUGUGUGUGUGUGUGUGUGUGUGUGUGUGUGUGUGUGCAUUCAUUCCAUGCUCCGCUUCAGAAUGUAAUUUCCCCCAGGCUGGGGUCUGCCAAUAAACACUAUUGAAUUCUGUCCUACACUGACAUGAUGGGAAUUUAAUUUGAGCUUGUCGCUUCUUUCUAUACUUCUUUUUCCAACUCCAUCCUCUUGCCAUACUCGUUACCCCCCUUUUAUAGCCCCCCAUUUGCCCUUUUCUCCUUCUGUCGAACGCCUUCUCUGUGAAGCGAGGCCGGGUCAUCCAGUCUGACAGUCUAUAUCACAGCUCCACAUUACUGUAUUAUUACCAUUGAGACUAAUGAUCCCUGAUGUGCAUAUGAAGGUGAUUUUAAUU